rnacentral:lncRNA from 1 species
AAUAAUAAAAAGAAACUAGUAAACCUCCCCCAAACCUGAACUAAACAUUGGCCUCAAUGUUUUAGAAUAAGAAAGAGAGAGUGUUGACUUACAAAACCCUCAUUAGGGAGGUGGAGGAAAAUGCGACAUCAACGGUUGCAUCAUGGAUUGCAUUUCCUCCAGCAUGGCUCCUUGUCGAACCUCCUCAACUCCUUGUCGGGUUUGC